rnacentral:tRNA from 1 species
ACUUGGUUGGCUCAGUUGGUAGAGCAUGCGACUCUUGAUCUCAGGGUCGUGAGUUCAAGCCCCACAUUGGGCA